UACAGGGGGGGCAAGCGUUGUUCGGAAUUACUGGGCGUAAAGGGCCAGUAGGCGGCCAACUAAGUCCGACGUGAAAUCCCUAGGCUUAACCUAGGAACUGCGUCGGAUACUGGAUGGCUUGAAUUCGGGAGAGGGAUGCGGAAUUCCAGGUGUAGCGGUGAAAUGCGUAGAUAUCUGGAGGAACACCGGUGGCGAAGGCGGCAUCCUGGACCGGCAUUGACGCUGAGGCGCGAAAGCCAGGGGAGCGAAUGGG
rnacentral:rRNA from 1 species